rnacentral:misc_RNA from 1 species
AUUAGUGACAAUUCCAUCUACAGUAGGGAUAACAACAAAAUAUAGGUUCAAAGAAGGCUUAAAUAAUCAUGCAAUUAACAUCUGCCAAGACAGUAAUAGGAGUUGAAAGCAAUCAAUCAACUUAAACCAAAAAUGACAUCAAGUGGGAGAUAGCAAUCUGCUUUUCUAUGUCGAUGACCCACUUAAAUAAACUGUUUUCUAAUUUGUUUGUUACACUACCAAAUUCAAAACUAUCUGCCCUUGCCUUCAUUCCCUUGUUCUUCCUUAGGACUCCUUAUAAGGAGGGCCCAAGUUCAAGAGAAUACAUGAUUUAGCUCUUUUCGCAAUGGAUUUUUAAGUGUAUAAGAUUGGAUAGAUUAUCAUGCCUUUGACUUCUUUCCUUUAGCUUCUUUUGCUGGAGGGGCCUGGAAAGGCAUGAAUGUCUUCCCACCCAUGUAUGGUCGUAGAACCUCAGGAAUUUCAACUCCAUCCUCCCUCUGGUUGUUCUCAAGUAUACAGCACAUAGUCCUCUCUGUCGCUGUAAGGGUGGAGUUCAAUAAAUGCACAUACUGCUUCGCUUGCUCAUUACCCUUCUUCUGUCCAAACCGAAUUUCCAAUUUCCUUGACUGAUAGUCUGUGCAGUUUGAGCAGGACACAAGCUCUCUAUAAGCCGAUGAUGCAGGGUACCACCCUUCCAGAUCAUACUUCUUUGCUGCUGCAUCAUUCAGUGCGCCAGAAACAAUAGCCACAAUUUGGUAAGGAAUGUUUAGCUGCUGAAAGAAUUCCUCUGAGUUUUUAAUCAUCUCCUCAUGCAUGUCCCAGGAGUCAUUGCCAUUUGGACUGGUUAAACAGAACUGUUCCACUUUCUCAAACUGAUGGACUCUAAAAAUUCCAAGUGUGUCGCGGCCAUGUGAACCAGCUUCCUUGCGGAAGCAUGACGAGUAUCCAGCAUACCUUAACGGAAGCUGUGAAGGAUGAAUCCAGUCAUCCAAAUGAUAAGCACACAGAGGUUGUUCAGCAGUGGCAAUCAGAUAUUUGUCAUCUCCUUCACCAGUGACCUUGUAGAGUUCUUCAUCAAACUGAGCUAACUGAGCACACUUUGCCAUAAUAUCUUUCCUCAUGAAGAACGGAGUCUGCAAUGGAGUAUAUUUCCUCUUCUCCAGGAAAUCAAGAGCAAAAUUAAUUAAUGCUUGGUUAAGACGUACACCAUCCCCUUUCAAAUAGUAACCUCUUCCUCCAGCAACAUUUGCACCCUUGGUUAUGUCUGCAAUUCCAAGAGCUUCCACGAGAUCAACAUGGUUUUUAAGACCCUUCUCAGUCCGCCUCUCUCCCCAUGUUCGAACUACAGCAUUAUUUGCCUCAUCAUUACUAAUUGGCACUGAAUCAUGCACAAGGUUACCAAUGAUUUCCAGCUUUGAAUAUAAAGCGGCUCGAGCCUCUUGUACUUCUGCCUCUUUCUUUGCAGUUAGUUGCUUGUUCUCUGCAGUGUCCUUAAUUUUUUGACUUGCAUCCUCACCAGAAAUUUUGAGCGAGGCAAUUUCUCUGUUGAUCUUGUUGAAAUCUUUCCGCAAGUUAUCAACCUCAAACUGGCGUUGACGCCAUUCUUUGUCAAGUUGGAUAACCUGAUCGACAAGAUCGACAUCAGCAAACCGACGACGCUGGGAUUCACGAAUGAUUUCGGGAUUGUGUCCCUUAUCUUCUCUGAAGAGAUUUAUGUCCAACAUUUUCUCUGAAACUUACACAACAGAGAUGCGCUAGUCGAAGUCGAAGGCAGCGGCGCAGGG